AGAGUUUGAUCCUGGCUCAGGAUGAACGCUGGCGGCGCGCUUAACACAUGCAAGUCGAGCGAGAACCAGACCUUCGGGUCUGGGGACAGCGGCGAACGGGUGAGUAACACGUGGGUAAUCAACCCUCGGUACUGGGAUAGCCCGGGGAAACCCGGAUUAAUACCGGAUGGCCCUUUGGAUCCGCGGAUCUGAAGGAAAAGGUAGCUUCGGCCUCCGACCGAGGACGAGCCCGCGGCGGAUUAGCUUGUUGGUGGGGUAACGGCCUACCAAGGCGGCGAUCCGUAGCUGGUCUGAGAGGAUGAUCAGCCACACUGGGACUGAGACACGGCCCAGACUCCUACGGGAGGCAGCAGUGGGGAAUAUUGGACAAUGGGCGGAAGCCUGAUCCAGCAACGCCGCGUGAGGGAUGACGGCCUUCGGGUUGUAAACCUCUUUCAGCGGGGACGAAGCGCAAGUGACGGUACCUGCAGAAGAAGCACCGGCCAACUACGUGCCAGCAGCGGCGGUAAUAC
rnacentral:rRNA from 1 species